CGUUCGGGCUACCACCAAGAGCUUGCUCUCAGGCGACGAGUGACGGCCCUUUUAGGGAUGUCUGGGAAACUACCUGUUAGAGGGGGAUAACUUUUGGAAACGGUAGCUAAUACCGCAUACCGCCUCAGGACCAAAGAGGGGGACCUUCGGGCCUCUCGCCAUCAGAUGUGCCCAGAUGGGAUUAGCUAGUAGGUGGGGUAAUGGCUCACCUAGGCGACGAUCCCUAGCUGGUCUGAGAGGAUAACCAGCCACACUCUAACUGAGACACGGUCCACACUCCUACGGGAGGCAGCAGUGGGGAAUAUUGCACAAUGGGCGCAAGCCUGAUACACCCAUGCCGCGUGUAUGAAGAAGGCCUUCGGGUUGUAAAGUACAUUCAGCGGGGAGGAAAGUGUUGUGGUUAAUAGCCCCAUCAAUUGACAUUACCCCCGGAAAAAGCACCGGCUAACUCCCUGCCAGCAACCGCGGUAAUACGGAGGGUGCGAGCGUUAAUCGCAAUUACUGGGCGUAAAGCGCACGCAAGCGGUCUGUCAAGACGCAUGUGAAAUCCCCGGGCUCAACCUGUGUACUGCAUUCGAAACUGUCAGGCUGGAGUCUUGUAUAUGGGGGUAGAAUUCCCGGUGUAGCGAAUAAAUGCGUAGAGAUCUGGAGGAAUACCAAUGACGAAGGCGGCCCCCUGGACAAAACUGACACUCAAGUGCGAAAACGUGUGGAGCAAACAGGAUUAGAUACGCUGGUAGACCACGCCGUAAACGAUGUCAAAAUGUAGUUUUGCCCUUCAGAAUAAUACCGCAGAUAACACGUUAAAUCUACCCCCUGGGGAGUACGGCCCCAGGAUGAAACUCAGAUGGAUUAACGGGGGCCCCCACAAGCGUUGGAGCAUGUG
rnacentral:rRNA from 1 species